UUGGAGGGAAUUGCUAUCAAGGUCGAUUGUCUCAAGAUGGGAACAUGCAGAUAAUGCCUCUGGUAUCUCACAACGAAGGGAGUUCAUGCUGAGGUUGAGGUACCGAAGCUGGGUUAGCUGGCCGAUGUCAGGAGAAAUCUGACCAACGAGCUGGUUGUUGGGCAUGUGGAUCCUUUCAAGGAAGCUGAGGUUGGCGACGCAAGGGAAAAUGCUGCCAGCGAUGUUCUCGGAUUCAAGGUCCAGUGCAAUGACUCGAGAUGCCUGCUGUCUGCUGCCGCAUGUCACCCCAUGCCACUGGCAGAAUGCAGGGGAGUCAUCUCUCCAUGAGGCCAAUGCACCUGAUGGGUCACGGAGCUGAGAUUUGAGACAGAGGAGAGCACUGGAUUCAUUCAGUGCGGCGGGUGAUGUGUAUUGGCACAGGGCAAGGAAGUGGAUGGAGAUGAAAGCAAGCAGCGGCAGGAUGGAAAUGCUGUGGUUGGCUAUGUGAGACAUUGUUUCUAUGCAUAUAUGGAUGGAUGGAUAGAUGGAUGUGUAGAUCAUCCUGCUGCCUUGGGCUAACCGUAUAUGAUGAGGUUAUAUAGAGCUCCAUGCCUAUUGCACUGUAUGAAUCUGACUUCACAGUUUCAAUGGAUGGUUUUAUCUUUGUUUGUGUAAUUUUCCACAAAGGAGCUUUUAUAUUGCGCUCUGAUCUGAUGCACAAAAUAAAGGAGCUUGCAGACAAUUUGAACAGCUCAGUCAACACGUUUCCUGAAAGUAUGAUAAGUGCAUUAUUUGACCAAUGCAGAGUGACACAUAUUUUCUACGCGCCUGAUGUAAACAAAGUAAAGGAGAUUCUGCAGAUUAUAUUUUCGGAUCGAGGCGAUGACCUACGGUGAGUCUUCGUUGGAAGAAUUUCAGCGGCUUGCACUGAUGACUGACCAAUGAGUCUUCGUUUGGAAAGCCACACUCUCCAACUUGGAGUGCUUACCACAAGCUCUAGCACUUGAUCCGGCCGGACCACUUGUCGCCCUUUGCAUCUCGCUCUACUAGAGUUGCUCUUCGCGAUCCCCGUGGGGUGAGCACCGUAUCCCUCACAAAUCCUCCUCCGGAGCACCGCACAAUCUUCUCGCGUGCUUCAAACGGAGUCACAAUCCACCAAACCAUCUAGGUGAUGGCAAUCACCAAGAGUAACAAGAAGUCCCCAAUCACAAAGAUUUCCUAGUGCCACCAAAUGCAAAUUCCGAAUACACACACUAGGCUCUCACUCUCUCACUCGAAAUAGCACCAAGCAUCAGAGGGAGAGAAAGGGGAAAUGGUGGAUCUUUAACCUCUUAUACACACCCACAAAGGAUUCUCAAUCUCUCUAAGAAAUUCAGCUCAAAUCCAUGAGAGAGAGAAGAGGAGGAACCCUCGACUUGCUUGCUCUCUGUUGUAAAAAUAAUGGGAGAGCUCCCUCUGCUGUGUUCUCGAGAGUUGGAGAAGGGAAAGGAAGCGCUCGGUCUAAAUGACUUGGCCAGCCAGCUCUCCAACGGGCAACAACAAUGCCGUUUGCCACAACGGGCAGCAGCACAGGCACUGAGUGACCCUCUGCAUUCUCUCAGCACUGGGCUCCACCAAAUAAAUGAGUGAGAAGCAAAGAGCUACAACCUCCCAGCAGUCCACGUGCAUGCACUCCUCCAAUCUCUAUUCUGAAUGGACGAGCAGCACCUCAAAUUAAUUAAGUAUCUUCUUGUACUUGAGUGGACCCUACGCUAUAAAUAGCAAAGGUCAAUGGCUACCUCCUUUUCUCAAAUCAUCUUUCUCUUUCUCUCUCUCAUUUAAUGUGGCAAGAGCUCUACAAUAUGCAACGCAUGCAAACAGGGUCUCUGACUACCAUUUCCGUCUUACGCACGAGACAGGCAGCGUCUUACGCACGAGACAGGCAGCAAGCAGCAGCUGUAAAUUCUUUCAACUGAUUCCAACUAGCAGCAACUGCUUCCAACUUUUUUUUACCUACUUGCUGUUAAACUGUACACUAGUUUUAACUAGUUGCGACUGGUCGUGACGGCUUCCAGCUUCUUGCAAUUUUCUUCAUUUGCUUGCUAUUGAGCUGUGCACUGAUUUUAACUGGUUCCAACUGGUCGCAACUGUUUCCAGCUUCUUGCAAAAAUAUUCAUCCGCUUGCGGUUUAAACUAUGCACCGGUUUUAACUGAUUGCAACUGCUUCUAACUUGUUUCAGCUACUUGCCAAAUCCUUUUAGCUUGUCACAACAGCUUGCAAUUUCUUUUCGUCUGGCCAGCAGUUUACCUUCUGUGAAUUUUCAGUACCUUCACCAAAAUAUUUCAAAAUAAAUUGGACAUUUAAAUUAGCUUUUCACAAAUAUUUUUAUAGGCUUUCUCAUGCAGCUCACCACGUCACUAAGCGCUAGGUAAUGCAAAUGAGACUCACACUUAGUGGCACUAGAUAACCAUUGCAAAUAAAGAUUUCCCCUCUUUAUAGUACGGUUAUUUAUCCUAAAUCCAGUCAAGCACUUCUCUACUCAACUUAGACCGGUGAAAUAAAAUGCCCUAUAUGUUAUACCUUUGCCUUGCACAUUUCAUCCCAUCUCCUUCGAUGUUGAUGCAACACAUGCACCAAACAAUCACCAAAUGAUAUGAUCCACUUCAUAUCAUCACGUAACCAUAUUGGUUCAUCGAUCUUGACUUUACUUGCUCUUCACCGUUGCGUCGGUCCAUCGUCUUGCUUAAGUUUCACCGUUACACGCGGUCCCUCGCUUCAAAGCCUCUGACUUUCCCUUCACACUUGCAACCAGUCCAUCGAGUCAAGUCUCAUCUUGAUCUUCUCCACCUUGGUCACAUGACUCCAUAUCAUGCCUCAUAUGCAAUUUGCUCCUUCAUUAUCACAUAUCCAUCUAUGGACUAAUCUCUUGUGUAUCUCACAUAAACACUAUUAGUCCACCUAAUUAAGUUGUCACUCAAUUACCAAAACCAAACAAGGACCUUUCAUCCCCCCAAUUCCACUGCGUCUUUUCAUCGAAAAUCACAUCUCUGGAGAUCAUCAGCUUCUUAUUUAUUAGAUCAUACACACGAUAGCCUUUGGUUGCUGAUUCAUAGCCAAAGAACACGUCGAGAGUUGAUCUGUCAGCCAAUUUUCUAAUUCCGGGACCUACCGAUUUUGCAUAGACUUUACAACCGAAUGUGCGCAUAUGACACACUCCAGGUUUCUUCCCGAACCAGGCCUCAUAUGGUGUCAUAUCAUUGAGGCUUUUGGUUGGCGAGCGAUUCAGAACAUAUACUGUUGUCUGCACAACCUCCCCUCAAAACUGAGUCGGAACCUUCAUAGAUUUCAUCAUACACCGUGCCAUCUCUACUACCAUCUGAUUCCUGCGCUCUACUACCCCAUUCUGUUGGGGAGUAUAUGGAGUGGCCGUGUUGUGCUUGAUACCCCUUUCAUUGCAGAAGGUAACCACAACACCAGAGUUAAACUCCCCUCCUCUGUCUAUUAUGAUCCCUUUUAGUCGACGACCUGAUUUUCUGAAGCUAUUCAGUGCUUCAUCCUUGGUUGCAAGAAGUUCCAGCCACAUAUAGCGGCUGUUAUCAUCUACUAUCAACAAGAAGUAGGACUUCCCUCCAGGCGUUGGUGGUGAGAUCUGACCACACAGGUCGGUAUGCACAAGCUCAAGCCCGACUGCUGCCCGAUACGCUAACGCCUGAGGAAAUGGCACCCUAUGAUGUUUUCCAAAGCACAACCAUCACAAACUUGUUCUACUCGCCUGAUCUGAGGGAUUCCAACCACCAUAGCCUUUGCACCAAGAUCCUACAGUGCCCUGAAAUUGAGGUGCCAAACCUUGCAUGCCAUACCCAUGCCUCCUCUUCCAUCUUGGUCAUCAAGCACACUGGAAAGCUCAACUUUACUUUCAUCACGUAGAGCCUGUUUUUUCUCUCUGCUCGUAUUAGAACAUAGCGCUGCCGCUGUACAGCUUGCUUGCGCUUGAAUACUUCCAUGACGCCAUUAUCAAUAACAACACAACAUCCAUUCUCCUCCAGUUGACCAAGACUAACAAUGUUACAUUUAAGAGAGGGUAUGUAGUAUACCUCAGUGAGCACCCGAUGUUCAGCAUUCUUCCCAGCGAUCGUCACAGCUCCAAUGCCUUGAAUCUUCACCAUCGAGCCGUCGCCGAACCGCACUGCGCUCUGAACUGUUUCAUCAAGGCUCGUCAAUGCCUCCCAUGAGCCUGUCAUGUGGUUUGUGGCGCCCGUGUCCAGAAUCCAUGCGUCAUCGUUGUACUCUGCCGGGAACACACGUUCCUGGUUCAGGAACACGUGCUGGCCGCCUGUGACUACUGUGCACUUCGCCACCACGAGUGCGGCCUCGCCAUCAGCAGCGACAUGAGCUGCCUCAUGUCGUUCUUCCUUUUGAACCUUCGUGAGGCAUUCUUUAGUGAAGUGUCUAUAGAUCCCGCACUUACAGCACUUGCCCCUCCAUCGAGGUGUUCCCAUCGACGUGAGUUUCACACCGGCGUCGCGCGUGUCACUGCCGCCACGCGCGCCAGUCUUCUCCUUCUUGACAUAGCGGCCUCCGCCGCCACGCCCUCCACUGGAUGACAAUGAGUCAGGCACAAUGCGGCUCUUGUUUCUGGCCGUCCAUUCCUCCUCUGUCAGCAGGAGUUUGCCUGUCUUCUCAGUCACCUGUUCCACAAAGGGCUCGAACCGAUCCUCCGCCGCGCGAAGACAACCGACGAACUCAUCAAUGGACAACGUUUUCAGGUCGCUGGACAUUUCGAUUGCGACAGCAACUUGAUUGUACCUUGACGGCACAACUCGGAGGAACUUCACCACGCGCGUGUCAUCCACGCUGGUCUCCCCAAGUCCUCGUAGAUCCGAGGCAAGCUUGCUGAUCCGCACCGCAAAAUCGUCGAUAGCUUCUCCCAGCUUGAACGCGAUCGACUCGAAUUCAGCCAAGAGCUUUUGAGCGUCUACCUCCUUGACUCGAUCCGCCCCAAGGCGCAUGGUCUUGAUGGCUUCCCAGGCCUCCUUGAAGGACUUCUUGCCGAGCAGCAUGGUGUGCAUCUCCUCCGGUACUCCACGGAGGAUCGCCGCCAGCGCCAACCGAUCGCGCCGCCGCUCGACCUUGUCUCCACCCUCCAUCGCAUCACAGAGGAAAAUCCUCUCGAGAUUGCACUGAACAUGCGCCGACCACCCUUGGUAGUUAGUGCGCGUCAGCAUCGGCUAGGUGAGGUUUCCGGUGGCCUGAUUGAAAGCACGCUCCAUUACUUCCUUCUCCCCCGACAUGCCUUGCUUUGGUGGAGAACUCAUCUCGACGACGCUGUUGUUCUCGCCCCGAUCUUCUUUCGCCUGGCGGACUGAACCACCCCUUCUCCUCUACUUCACCUCCUCGACACUGAACACCAUAAACUCCAGCCACCUCGGCUCUGAUACCAGUUGUUGGAACCAGGCGAUGCCCUGGGUACGUGAACUCGAUGCCGGCGGGAACGUGGUGAUCACGGCGAGAGAGAGUAGAUGGGAUCAAGCAAUGCGAACAUGAACACAGAUAUUGUGCUACACAACGUCGUAGCCUUUUCGGUCUUUAUUCAUGCUCUUAUAUACAUGAUGCAGAUACACCUUGGCUUGAUCGCCAAGUCCCCACGCCACGCCGCACGCCGUGCGCGAUAUCGUUUCUCAGCGAUACACGCCGCGUGUGCAGCUCGCGUCGUGGCGCUGACAUGCUGACCAACUCGGGCUGGAUCAUGAUCUAGCACGCCACCGAUCAUGUCCAUCACCUAACUAACUCAUGCAUGACUCAACUGAAUAAAGAUUACAUUAUGUGUGCAUUCAGUUUAGCUAACACCGGGGCCCCUGCAGCAUUUAUUGAAAGUAAAAGAGUUUUGGUAUGAAGAUACAAAUUACAAACACCUCUCUUUUCUAGACGAAGAACGAGGUAAAGAAAAUCCCCCGCACAUAGACAUCAAUAUAGACUUUGGAUCCAUUGAUCAAAGAGGUGUGCUAGACCAUGAGUCAGUUACCACCUGGAUGUAACAAUCAUACUGUGGCCAGAAGAUUUCAAAAUGGAACUGAGCCUUUGACAUGCCUGUCAGGUUAGUGUUCACUAGCAGGGGGCAGUGAUCAGAUGCCUCGGAGGCCAGGCUGUGUAGGUGUGCGCUGGGGAACAUUUCUUCCCAGGCCACAGAUACUAACACACGAUCGAGACGGACCAGCGUUGGGUUUUCUGGUUCAUUGCUCCAUGUGUAGCAUCUUCCGUGGAGGUGCAGAUCUUGGAGCUGAAGGUCCGCAACCGUUUGUCUGAAUCGGGACAAGUUAACACGGUUGAUCCGGUCGUUGUUCUUGUCGGCCUCAGACAGGAUCAGGUUGAAGUCACCGCAAAUGGCCCAUGGACCUGGACACUCGUGCCUGAUGGCUUCCGGCUCUUCCAGGAAUAGAGCCUUGUCAUUGUCGUCCUGAGGCCCGUAGACUGAGGUGAGCCACCACAAACCAUAUCAGCUUGAUUCUGCAGUUCUGCCGAGCGCACCUUCACAGUCAACGAGUAGCAGCCGACGAGUACACUGGAAAUGGAAACGCCGCGUCCCUGGCUGCAAUCAAGAUGACGCCUCUCGAUCUGGUGUUCGAGGCAGGAAGGUAAGCGAAGUCCAAACAAUUGAUGCCCAUCAUGGCAAAGGCAAACACCAUGUGCUGAGGGAUUACAGCGAGCUUAGUCUCCUGGACUGGAGACAGACAAUGCUCAGUCGCACAUCAUCCACUAGAGUUCUUAUUACUGAAUCUCUACGUGCCCUGAUGUUCAACCCCAGCACAUUCCAAGACAGGAUAGAAAUAUUAUUCAUUGUUAACUACGACGUUCAGUGGUCACAGGAGCCUCAGCUGCGAUCAGCGAUGCUCGGCAGGAUUGUUCUGUUCUGCCGGAGUUUGCUGCCAGAAACGCUUCAUCUGUGUUUCAGUGAUUCUGCUGCUGCGGAUUGCCUCAUAUGCUUGCUUGCUUGGAAGGCCGGCGAUGCGGUGGGUUGCAGCGGAGGCAUACCCAGUCUCUUCAGGAGCAGGAUCUCCCCCCUCCUAGAUGUGGGGCAGAUAUGGCUUUCUUGCUGGCGCUUGUGGUGGUUUGGAGAUGACUGAUGAGGGGCGUUCUCCUCUUUUGCUGCACCUGCUCUGUGAAGUUAGCCAGCCUCCGUGCCGCCUCUCACCGGAGCUCCGAAUACCUUUCAAGGUGCAAUGAAUUCAACUCUGUUGUCUCUCCUGCGCAAGUGUGCCCUAGUGUUCUUUGAUGAUAUUUUGAUAUACAGUCCCACGUUCGAUGCUCACAUCCAUCACUUGCGUCAAGUGUUCCAAUUACUAGCUGCUGAUCAGUGGAAAGUGAAAUUCAGCAAAUGCCAGUUCGGCAAGCAGUCCAUCUCGUAUUUGGGUCAUAUUGUGGGCAAUGGUGGUGUUUCUACCGACCCUUCCAAAAUUCAGUCCGUCCAGCUUUGGCCGCAGCCCAACGAUGUUAAAGAGCUUCGCAGAUUUUUGGGACUUGCCGGCUAUUAUCGGAAAUUCGUCAAGAAUUAUGCUGCCAUAGCAAGACCCUUAACCGACCUGCUUAAGAAAAAUUGCUUAUUCGUUUGGACACAAGCUCAUACUGCUGCUUUCCAAGCACUUAAGGAUGCCCUGGUCUCGGCUCCGGUUUUAGCUCUUCCAGAUUUCUCCAAGCAGUUCCACAUUCAAACUGAUGCCAGCAACUCCGGAGUUGGUGCAGUUCUUUUGCAAGAUGGACAUCCACUAGCCUUUGUCAGUAAAUCUCUGGGACCUCGUACUAGUGCUCUUUCAACCUAUGAGAAGGAAUUCCUUGCCAUACUAGUGGCGGUCGAGCAUUGGCGGUCUUAUUUGCAACAUGCAGAAUUCUUAAUUUUCACAGACCAACGUAGCCUCAUGCACGUGACUGAUCAACGGCUGCAUACCCAAUGGCAACUUAAAAUGUAUCACAAGCUCUCUAGGCUACAAUACAAAAUUGUCUACAAACCAGGAAUAUCAAAUUCUGCAGCAGAUGCCUUGUCUCGUCACCCUAGUCCGCCAGCUCAAUUACAGGCAGUCUCAGUUUGUACACCCACAUGGUUAGCUGAUCUUGUCGCUGGUUAUGACCAAGACCCAGAUUCUCAGGAGUUACUUAAACAGCUCGCUGUCCAUCCUGACGCACGUCCUCCUUUCCGCUUGGUUGAUGGUGUCAUACGAUAUUCGGGACGAAUUUGGGUCGGUGCAAAUGUCACUUUGCAGCAGCGCAUCAUCUCUGCUCUCCAUGCCAGUGCGAUUGGCGGACACUCCGGCUUUCCAGUAACUCACAGUAGAGUUAAGAAGCUGUUUUGCUGGAAGGGCUUGAAGCGUACUGUCAAGGACUUUGUGUCAGCCUGCACCAUCUGUAUUCAAGCCAAGCCGGAUCGUUCAAGGUACCCCGGCCUACUUGCACCUCUUCCAGUUCCUACUGAAGCUUGGCAAGUGAUUAGCAUGGACUUUAUUGAAGGAUUACCAACUUCAGCCUCUUCCGAUUGCAUCAUGGUGAUAGUUGACAAGCUCACUAAGUAUGCACACUUUGUUCCACUUCACCAUCCAUUCAAUGCUCAGAAGGUUGCAUAGGCAUUUCUGGAUCAUGUAUUCAAGCUGCAUGGGAUGCCAGUUCAGAUCAUCUCGGACCGAGAUCCAAUUUUCACCAGCCAAUUUUGGCGGGAAUUGUUUCGUCUAGCCCAGGUUUCUCUGUCAAUGAGCUCAGCUUAUCACCCGCAGUCCGAUGGCCAGACUGAGCGUGUCAACCAAUGUCUGGAGACGUACCUCCGGUGUUUUGUUCAUUCCUGCCCGCGUCGGUGGAUUCGCUGGAUUUCUCUUGCAGAAUUCUGGUAUAAUACCAGUGAACAUUCAGCCCUGGGAAAAUCUCCAUUCGAGGUACUCUAUGGCCAUUCGCCUCGACAUUUUGGUCUUACUGAUGAUAUGGUUUCCCCUGUUUCCGAUGUGACGAAAUUGCUGGAGGAGCGCUCUACUAUGCUCGCGGCGGUGCGACAACACCUUCUUCGCGCGCAGCAACGCAUGAAGCACCAGGCGGACAAGCGUCGCUCCGAGCGUUCAUUUCAAGUUGGCGACUUCGUCUACCUUCGCCUCCAGCCGUACGUGCAGACUUCGUUAGCACCAAGAUCACACCACAAACUAUGCUUCAAGUACUUCGGGCCGUUCAAGAUCCUGUCCAAGAUCGGCGCAGUGGCAUACAAGCUGGAGCUUCCUCCAUCCAGCAACAUCCAUCCUGUCUUCCACGUCUCCCUCCUCAAGUCUGCACCACCAUCACCUUCGUUGCUCGGUAAAGUUCUUCCCGACUCUGAAGACAUGCUUCAAAUUCCAGAGCGCGUUCUGCAGACAAGACUUCACCAACGCGGUCAAGCUGUCGUUCCUCAAGUGCUGAUCAAAUGGAGUGGACUCGAUGAGGACCUUGCCACUUGGGAAGACAAGGAGGCGCUGCAUCAGCGUUUCCCUGGUGCACCGGCCUGGGGACAUGCCGGCACUCAAGGGGGGAACCAUGUCAGCAGCCCACAUCCUGGGGACCCAGCCGCUGUGUCAAGGCCCAAGCAUUCCUCCAGAAAGAGGACCAGAAGCAUCAAGAUUGCUGGGCCUGAGUGGGCCUGUAACGCUUGUGGGAACAAGUCCGCUGCUGAGUGAGAUAAGAUGGCCAGAGGGAAAAGAGUCGGGCAACAGAAUUCAUUCUAUACUCUUGUAAGGCCAGAGGCCAAGUACUCUUCGUUUUGCUAAGAACUCGAGUUAAAUUCCUAGAUGUUCCUUUAUCUCUCUUCUGAUUAGCCGCCGCCGUCGCUGCGGUUAACAGGAGUGUUCGUCGGGACGACCGGGCUGGCGCCCUGCUGGUGUUCUUGGGAUGGGCCUGGCGCUGGCGGUGUUGUGGCCGCGGUGGUCUCUCUCUGUAAGCAGCAGCGUGCCCGGGUGAGACCACGUCGGACCAAGCCAACAAAGUUAAUUAAUGUGUGUAGUAAAUACGAAUCUGUAUCUGAUUUAUCCAUUUCAUAUUAAUAUCUGGAGAUAUUUGGAUCUGUAUGUGUACCUAACAGAAAAUAUACUGAAAAAAGUUCUCUGUUUCUCGGUGUCGCCUUUGGUGCGCAUGGGCAAGUCCAGGUGCAGUCAACUUGUCAUGGAAGCCGGCCAGAAGGUAGGCACCAUGCUAUGCUGAAAUCGUUGACUACCGAGACCACGACCGACCCUGGCAGAAGCUGCAGAUUAAUUAUAUUAUCGGAUCGAGACGAUGACCUACGGUGAGUCUUCCUUGGGAGAAUUUCAGUGGCUUCCACUGAUGAGUCUUCGUUUGGAAAGCCUGUGCAUGCCGUGACAGCAGCCAAACGUGUCCUGCAGGUUGCAAGUGAUAUGUCGUAGUCGCAAGAGAAUUCAUUUCUCUAUGCAUUUGACCAUUCAACAGAAGGAAGUGAGCUCUAUGGACGUGGGAUAGUUCUGUCAUUUCAGCUUCAUCGUCAUAUAUAUAUAUAUAUAUAUAUAUAUAUAUAUAUAUAUAUAUAUAUAUAUAUAUAUAUAUAUAUACGAUUGAACUAUAUAUAUGCCUCAUGGACGCGGCGACUGACAUUGACUGUACACCCCCAGGUUCUCCCAUAAGAACAUGGAAUUGAAGCUCACCGUUCUCACAAUGCUAGGAAUUAGGCGUUAUUACUUCCUUUCUACCGUGUUACUGAUCAUGAUUCAGCUGAUCUUGAUAAACACGGACAGUCAGCAGGCUCCGGCGGGGAGGAGGAGUGCUCCAGGCCAUUCUUCUGGAUGUAAGUGCUAGGAGACUAUUUGAUUGUUAUCGUGUGUUUUUUUUUUCUGAACGUUUGUUUUAGCUUGUGGCUUUGCAUGAGUUGAUUCUCAUACAUCUUAGUAUUUUCAUGGCGCUUGAAUUGGAUCUGUAGAGCAUGUCGAAAGUGUAUAGUAUUUAUAGUACCUCUCAGGCAUCAGAGAACAAUAUCUAUUUACAAUAAUCCAUAUGAAGCUGUUUCUAGGACUUAUUAAUUGUAUAUUAAUUAGUAUACUUAUAUGUGAUGUAAAUUUGGAACGUAAUUAUGAAUUUUUCAUAGUUGCUUUCCAAAUUGGCUUCUAUUAAUGCAGUUCUUUCGCCUUGCCAAUAGCUACACAAUGAUUGAGUUCUAUUUUUAAAUUGACAAAGUUAGAUAGCCAUCUUGGCUAGUUUUCCCAGCCUGUCAAAUUUUGGUCGUCAACCGAAGUCAAGGCAUGACUCUGGAUUAAUGAAAUGGCACAAGCCGUUGGUUAUAAAAAAGAAUAUAAUAAUCAACGAAAUCCAUCUGUAGAAAAAUCAUUGUUGCACUAGUCUGAGAAGGUAUUAGUUAUUUGAAGCAUUGUGUUUGCUUGUUUCGUUCUUUUGAACAGAAGUAUCUUAAUUGAUGGGCUUAUUUAUUUUUGAAUCAUAUUGCAUAUAUGGACCCGUUCAUACCCUGAUAGAUUAGAAUGCAUAAAACCGCCAUGAACCUUGACAAUGCAUUUUCGGAAUUGUCUGUCAUGAUGCGCCACUAAUUUACAAAGCACAGAAUGCAAAUUUUGUUGAAAAAGUAAGAGCAUCCCCAACCGUUUGACAAAUAGACUUUGCAUUCAUGUAUUUACAAAAAAAAGUCUAAAAAACACCUCUCCAACGGUUUGGUAAUUGAGUUUUGCAAUUUUGUUAACUUGGCAAAUAGAGGGAAAGAACUUGCAUAUAUGCCAAGCCCCUCCACGCUUGGCAUCGCGUCCCUCGCGCAAAAUCUAUUCGCGCGACUACUCCCUCCUUCCGCUGCCAGAUUUUCUUUUUUGUCAAGUGAUUAAUAUCAAACCAUUGGAGAUUAUCUCUUUUCACCUUUGCCAUAUUUAUUUAGGACUUAGCAAACUCCCUCAUUUGCCAAAUGAACUAUGCCAAACGGUUGGAGAUGCUCUAACAAUGACUCAGAGAGGAAAGUGCAUAAUGCAUCCUUUCUUGCUCCACAGGCCGUUAAAUUGUCUGGAACAAGAGCACUAAGAGUCACUUUCGAAGGAAAGCAUUGAUGCUUGAAUAUGUGCAGCCCACCGAAAUAAGCAGGGAUAGAAUUCAUAGUUUUCAGAGAAAUUAUUUGAGAUGGAAAGGUUUCCUAUCUCUCUCAUUUAAUUUCUUGUUUAGAGAAAUUUAAGAUAAGGCCCUGUUUAGAUUGGAGAUGAAAAUUUUUUGGGUGUCAAAUCGGAUGUGUCGGAAGGAUGUUGGGAGUGAUUUUUAAAAAUUAAUAAAAAAACAAAUUACAUAGCUCGUCAGGAAACUGCAAGACAAUGUUUCAUGCAUGUGUCCAAAGAUUCGAUGUGAUGGAUGAAAAAUUUUUAGGUGGAAAGCUAAACAGGGCCUAAUGUCUCUCCUGACUUUUGUUUGGACGAACCUUCCUCGUGACUGGUAUUGACCAUACACCCACACAGGUUCCACCAUAAGAACUUGGAAUUGAAGCUCACUGUUCUCAUACAAUACAAUGCUAGGAAUGCCGUGUUACUUCCUUCCUACCGUGUUUCUGCUUGUUCAGCUUACCCUGAUAAGCAUAGCUAGCCUGCCAGCAGGCUCAGGGGGGGCCGUGGGGGGUACUCGGAUGACGCCGAGUUUUGGGUGUAAGUGCUACAGGACUAUUUCAUUUUUAUCGUGUGUUUGUUUUCUGAAUGUUUGUUUUAGAUUGUGGCUUUGGAUAAGUUGAUUCUCUUACAUCUUAGUUUUUUCAUGGCGCUUGAAUUGGAUUUGCAGAGAUUGUCAGAGCGUGUAUAAUAUUUAUAUGUAGUACCUCUCGGGCUUGGGAAUGUAAGAGACUAGAAUGGAAAGAAUGCUCGAGUUCAUUCAUUCAGAGUACAACAGUACAUAUACAUGUCAAGGAUCAAUCCCAGCCUAGUGAUGCUAACUACCUGCCUACAAGCAAGGAGUGGCCAGCAGAACCGGGCACACACGCUGACUAACUGAAGGAGAGCUAACCCACUACUAUCUAACAGACUCCUGUAGAAUAGGUCGUUUACAUCCCCCCGCAGUUGCAGCUUCAUUUGAUCGAAUGCAUAAACUGUCUCUGAAUUCAUUGAACAAUGGCGUUGGUAGCCCUUUAGUCAUGAUAUCUGCAAAUUGAUGCUGUGUAGGUAUUUGCAGAACUUUGAAUUGACCCAGAGCAACCUUUUUCCUGACAAAAUGUAUGUCUAGCUCCACAUGUUUUGUUCGUCGAUGAUGCACGGGAUUUUCUGAUAGAUAAACUGCAGAAACAUUAUCACAGUAAAUCACCGUUGCCUUGUCGAUGGUAACAUGGAGCUCGCGAAGAAGGUUGCGUAGCCAGCAGCAUUCCGCGGCGGCGUUGGCCACCGCCCUGUAUUCCGCUUCAGCGCUGGAGCGCGACACCGUUGUUUGCCUCUUCGACGACCACGACACAAGGGAAUCACCGAGGAAGACGCAGUAUCCAGACGUUGAUCGCCGUGUGUCGGGACACCCUCCCCAGUCGGCAUCGGAGUAGACCUUGAGGGCAGUCGAUGGUGUUGCCGAUAUCUUGAUGCUGUGGUUGAUGGUGCCACGCAGAUAACGGAGAAUACGCUUGACGAGGUUCCAGUGUACGUCACGAGGUGCGUGCAUGUGGAGGCAGGCCUGGUUCACCCCGUAAGCAAUGUCCGGGCGCGUGAGUGUUAGGUACUGGAGUGCGCCGGUGAUGCUGCGGUAGAAGGUGGGGUCAGAUGCAGGCUCGCCAUCGGUUGCAGACAGCUUCGGCUUGGCCUCCACAGGUGUGGAUGCAGGUUUGCAGUUGGACAUGCCGACGCGCUCCAGAAUGUCCUCGGUGGACUGGGCUUGGUUGAGGGUAGAACCCAGUUGCAUCGCGACAGACUUGGACACUGAGGAAGAAACGAAGUUCACCAAGGUCCUUGAGCGCGAAGACAUGACGCAGUUGGUCAAUGACACGCCGCAGAGUGGUGGUCGUCGAAGCUGUUAGAAUGAUGUCGUCGACGUACACGAGGAGGUACGCCACCUGAUCACCACGCUGGAAGAUGAACAAGGAGCUAUCGGAGCCGGAGGCAGUGAAGCCCAGGCUGCGGAGGUGAUUGCCAAGACACUGAAACCACGCUCGCGGCGCUUGCUUGAGUCCAUACAAGGACUUGACAAGCAGGCAGACAUGGUUGGGGCAGUCCGGGUCGACGAAGCCUGCAGGUUGAUGACAGUACACUCAUUCAGCAAGAUCACCGUGGAGGAAUGCCUUCUUGACGUCGAGUUGAUGCACUGGCCAUCGUCGUGUUGCCGCGAGGUGGACUGUGCGCACAGUCGCUGGUUUCACCACUGGGGAGAACGUCUGAUGGAAGUCAAUGUCGGGGCGUUGGGAGAAGCCUCGAACAACCCAUCGUGCCUUGCGGCGUUCCAGUGUACCGUCAGGAUUCAACUUGUUCUUGAAGAGCCACUUCCCGGUGAUCACAUUGGCCUGAGCGGGGCGCGGCACGAGUGUCCACGUGUUUUUGUUUUGCAGGGCGUUGAACUCUUCUUGCAUCGCAGCCAGCCACUCCGGGUCUCGGAGCGCGGCACGGACUCCGGUCGGUGGAGGUGCUAGUGCAGGUGUGGUGGCCACGUGCGCAUACUUGGGAUUAGGCUUGUGAAUCCCAGCUUGCGCACGCGUGACCAUCGGGUGUCGCUGCGGUGGCGCGGCAGCCGACCCUCGAGGUGAAGCCGGUGCCUGCACAGGUGAUGAGCUUGAUGUCGAGGCGGUGGUCGGGGUCGAUGUUGAGGCACCGUGCAGGGGCACAGCUUGCGGGACCGUCGACGCGUCGUGCGUGGAUGACGAGGUUGCAGGUUGUGAUGGCGGUGCAGCACUGGGGUUCACCCGAGCCUCAGGCGAAUGAGGGGGUGUUGUUGCAGCGCCGCGCUGUAUUGCUGGUGCUGCGCGUCGAGUCGGCCGGUGCUCGACAGGGAUCGGAACCAUGUCUGGGAGGCACGUCGGACAUGGGGGUGCCUCCUGUGGCUGCGACGUUUGUGCCUACGAAAAUGGAAAACAUGUUUCGUCGAAGUAGACAUGUUGUGAGAUGAGCACCUGUUUGGUAACUGGAUUGUAGCACUUGUAUCCCUUUUGAUCGAGGGGGUAUCCAAGGAAUACGCAGCGCACAGAUCGCGGUGAAAGUUUGUUAGGGGCGGUGGACACGGUGUUUGGGUAACAAAGGCACCCAAAGACUCGGAGGUGAGUGUAAUCGGGUGGUGACCCAAACAACAGCUUGAAGAGGACUGCGUUGUGGCGAGGCCGGCAUGGUCGCCGAUUUAGCAGGUAGGUGGAGGCGGCCAGGGCGUCAGGCCAGAAGCUGGAGGGGAUGGAUGCCUGGAACAACAAGGAACGAAUGCCGUCAUUGAGCUUUCGUAGGACUCGUUCCGCACGACCGUUCUGUUGUGAUGUGUAUGGGCACAUGAGUCGUAGCGCAAUGCCGUGUGUGGCAAAGAAUGCGCAUGACGCUGAGUUAUCAAACUCACGACCGUUGUCAGUUUGGAGACACAUGAUAGGGACCUGAAAUUGAGUGUGCACAAAGGCAUGGAAGGAGAUGAGGGUGGGUAGAACGUCUUAUUUGUGGCGUAAGGGAAAGGUCCAAACGUAAUGUGAAAAAUCAUCCAAAAUGACAAGGUAGUACUUGUAGCCAGAAUUGCAUAUGAUAGGUGACGUCCAUACAUCACAAUACAGAAGUUGAAAAGGAAUAUGCGAAACAUUAUUGGACUCAGUGAAUGGUAGGCGGACAUGUUUGCCAAGGCGACAGGCUUCACAUGUGUGUGGACUAGACUUGGAGCAAGUGAAACCUAUGGAGCGUGACAAUUGCUGGAGCGUGCCGUGUCCAGGGUGGCCGAGGCGCGCAUGCCAGAGCGAGCUGUCGGUGGAUGCAAGGAGAGCAGUCGGAGAGCGCGUCGGUGUGCUUGAAGAUGGGCGAAGUGGGUAAAGUUCGCCGGAGGAGUCACAUCGGAGGAGCGCCAUCCGGGUGCGUAGGUCCUUGAUAGAAAAGCCCCAUGGAUCAAAUUCAACAGAGUUGUCACGCGCUAGAGCACGCACAGAAAUGAGGUUCUUAACAAUUUGAGGAGCAAUUAAAACAUUGCGUAGUUGGAGGGGAGAAGCAGUGUGGGUAUUGUGGUGUGGCCAGUGGACUGAGGUGGGAGGAGUUGGCCAUUGCCGACAAUAAUAUGACGAUGAAUAGUGGGGGAUUGAGGGGAGGUGAGGAUACCAGGAUUUGAAGCCAUGUGUGCUGUGGCUCCAGUGUUGAGGAACCAAUCGCCGCCACAGCCUCCGGAGUUCUGGAUGGACAUGCCAUUGAGCGCCGAGUAGAGGCCGGUCGGCAGGGAACUCGAGGCACUAGAGUAGUAGUUGGAGUCCAUGGUCGGAGUAGGAGCCGAGAGCGCCGCCAUGGCUUGCGGCGGACUGACGCCUGGCCUGGAACCGAGGAUGCUAGGGCGCCAGGCGUUCAUCGGCCAGGCCUGGACGACACCAUGCCAAGGGUUGUAGGCCGAGGCCCACGGUGGUGGCGCCGCGCCGGGGUGCAUGUUUUGUCCACCAGGUGGGACACCCUGACUGGCCGCGUUGUUCUGGCGGUUGCGGCCGUCAGAAGCCUUGCGCUUCUUGCGGCGAUCGUUGGCGCCGUGGUUGGAGCCAGAUGACGGGGAAGGUGCCGGUGCCACGGGCUUGGGCGCUGUGGGGUUGGUGGUACCCGCGAGCAGUGCCGUCUGUGCCUCCAUCUGUAGAGAAUGACGAAUCCGGUGUUCCUCCUGCAGCAGAUAUGACUUGGUGUAGAGGAAGGUGGGAGGUGGGGACAUGGUGGUGAGGACAGCUAUGGCCUGGCUGAAUUUGUUGUUCAGGCCACGAAGUGUGUUGAUGACGAGCGCCGGAUCAGAGACGGCGGCGCCGCAAUCAUAAGGCCGCAAUACUCACUGAUGUUCAUGUCCCCUUGGUAGAGACUGUGGAACUCUUGUUGGAUGUAGACGGCGCGCUGGAGACUGUGGUCGAGGAAUUGCCCAGCGAUUGCCGUCCAGGCGGAGUACGCAGUGGCGCCGGUCUUGUUGACAUCACUCCAGAUCUCCUUGGAGACGUUGCUGUAGAGCCAGGAGACGAUGCAGGAGUCGAUCUGAAGCCACUCCGGAUUGUCGAUCAUGGCGGCGGCGUCGAUCGUGCCAUCAAUAUGGCUGUAGAGGCCGAAUUUCUGGAGUGUGAGCUCGAAGAAGUUGCGCCACUGACGGAAGUUGCCUUCAUCGGCGUUGAGAACCACCGGCACGUGACUGCGGAUGUUGAGCAGCACGAGCGUGGAGGCUGGUGGUGGAGCAGGGUCAAGGCCGACGGCAAAGGGGUUGGAAUUGCCAGAGGAGCUGGGAGGGGUCGCCAUGGCAGAGGUAGCGGAAGGUGGAAGAGAGGAGGAUCGGUUAGACCGAUACCAUGUAAGAGAGUAGAAUGGGAAGAAUGCUCUGUUCAUUCAUUCAUUCAGAGUACAACAGUACAUAUACAUGUCAAUUCUAGGUGUUUUGUUAAAUGUCGUAUAUAUUGUAUUUAUAAACAUAAUUCGACACUAGUAAGUACGAUAAAUAAGAAGCUGGUACAAUAUACUACUUCGUAAUAGCUGUAGUAUAAUGUUUUGUUAGAAAAAUGCUAGCAUGUCCUGGGUUCAAAUUUUCGCUAUUUUUUAUGAAUUCUGGAGAUGGCUGAAAAAAGCAAAACUUCGCAUAACAUUAAUGCAUGUGCUUUAUUGUAUAUAUAUAAUUCUCGAAUCUUUUUUUAUAUUUUCUAUAUGUUGCAUAUUCUUCUAAAUAUUGAUUUUGUUCAGAUCUAUUUUCUUAAAAAAAACAUAUUUCUUGAGUCUUUAAAAAACAUUGCAAUUUUACAGAUUUAAUUUUUACGAUUUUGAGGAUGACAAAAAAGUAGAAUACUGAUAUCACCCAAACAUGUCUCUAUUGAUCUUCCGUUUGUAUCACUUAAAUUCAUUUUUUGUUUCCUUUUCUAAAUCAAAAUGUGCUAUAUUUGUUGCGUUAACUACCCACGUCAUACACUAUCCCAGGUGAUUAGGAGAUGUUAACAUCCACGGACAUGCAGCCAUGGAAAAUCUUGAGUUUAUCCGUGUUUACCCCUAAUCAUAUUAACUGGUUUUGGCUUUAAGAUUCACAAACAUUUUUAGGUAAGGAGUACCGGAGCACUUCUUAUAUAGUAUUACUAUAUAUGCACUUUCGAUAUAUACAAGAUUGUAUUAGAUGCUAACUAGGCGGUGACCCUCUACUUAGGCCAGUCCCAGUGGCCCGUUUCAAUGCACUAUUCCAAAAUAAAUCUGCUGACAGAGCAUCAAUGAAACGAACAAUGAAACAACCUCCACAAUGCAUGAGUUUCACCUUGACGUUUCCUAGGCUGGGCAAAGCAUUUAAUUACUGCAAAAUGAUUAGAUCACAUGCAAGAUGGUGAGUGGGGAUUUCAUCUCGUUUCACCGCGUGGGAAACAACGCCCGUAGAUGGUGAAACUACUUCCUUCUCUUUCAUCUUCGUUUAGCAAAAAGUGCAGUUUUGUUGACAUGGCGCUCUAAUAAAUGUGCAUGACAUCUUGGUGAAACCUCCACUGAGACUGGCCUUACAGCCUACUAGGCGUGCGGCGUGCCUAGACGUUUGCAUGGUGUUUCCUAGGUAUUUUAUACAUUUAUAUAUGUUACCAUGAAAAAAGAGAAGAAAUUAGAGAUAAAAAAACAUAGCCCACCUUACCUGCCAAAACAGAGCCAACCUUCUCUGCCACCGUGCGACUGCGCCCUUCCAUCUCCACCAUGGCCGCACGUACUCCUCCCUUCCGUCUGCGCCACCACCAUGGCCGCACUCUGAGCCACGUCUACCACCGCCGCUGGCCGUGGUCCAUUGUACGUAUUGCUGCCCAAUGUCCAUAUCUCCCCACCAUCCAUGUCUCUCCUUCGCCGCAGCAGCAUGCUGUUCCCACCUUCCCCGCUGCUCACCAUCUAGAUCUGGCCGGACGUAAGGGCAUCAGAGACUGCCUACCCCCCCCUAGGCUCCAUUGUGCCCCAUCGCCUAGUGCAUAAUAAGCAUACCUCGAGCGGCCACGGAAUGACGCCUUGUGGAAUAUAUAUAUAUAUACACCCUAGGUGUAGAAUAUUAUUCUACACCGCAGGUCAAAAUUGAACAGAAAAAAUACUGAGUAAUACUGAACAACGUUCGGUAUCAUCUAGUCGUACACCUAGGACCACGAAAUACUGAAUAAUACUGAAACACGGGUACUGAACAAUACUGAAUUUUGUUAAGUAUAAUAUAUAUAUGCAUAAUAAAAAAUAUAUUUGAAAAAUCCAUGCGGCAGCGUCGUCGCUGAGUGAUCAUGUCUCAAGCGCCUGGCGAGGCCACGUUGCAUUGGCAGGGCGAUAGAACUCGUCCUCGUAGUAGCUAGGAUGACAGCAAGGUGGUGGAGUGGCUCAAAGCACCUCAACGGCGUGCUCCAUUAUUGGCAAGAGACGCACAGGAGAGCGAGGUGUUUAAUUACACAAUGUCCUCCUCCAUGGACCAACAUCGCCUCUGAUUGCAUGUGAACCUGAAGAGUGGCUGCUAGGGAUGAAAACGGCACGGAUAUUUUCCGACUGUAUUCGAGACCGAAUUCAUUUAGAAGGGUUUAAAUAUGUCCGUAUUCGAAUCCGAAUAUUUAACAUCCGAUUCCGUAUCCGUAUUCGAAUACUUAAAUCGUAUGUUUAUAAUGUCGACAUCCAAUCCUAUCUUAUCUGACAUAGUUGACAUUAUCCGUAUUCGAAUCCGAUUUCGACCAUAAAUAUGAAAACGAAUAUAAUAUCAGUAAUGUCCGUCCGUAUCCGAUCCGUUUUCAUCCCUAGUGGUUGGAAAAAAAGUCUUUUUUCUUUUCCCCUCGUACUUCAUUUGCUUUGAUCUGUCUUUUAUGUGUUUGGGGGUUGCUUAAUUGAUUUCCACUCUACAGAGGAUAGGAGGAGCAGGGUAGCAGCAAAAUGCGUUGAGAGAUGUUGUUCUGUGCAUUUCAGUUUGCUGAAUCUACUUUUGCUUUUGCCACAUGGAUUUCAUUCUCGAUAUCCUAAUUUAGAAUUUUGAUACUACUUCUAUUUAAUAAAGUUUCCAUUGCCUAAUUGUUUCUAGCGCUACGAUUUGGCUAUACCUUUUUUUUACAUUACCUGCUUGAUGCCAUGCAACUUCCUCUCUCAUUCCGUAGUGUAGUACAAUCUCGUUCUUAAUUUCUGUUUGAUUCAAUAGGUAUGCUUGCCAAAAUCCACAUGCUCAUCAGUUAUAAUGCACUUAUUGAAUGUUCAAUCAGUCUGAAUGUAUUCUAAUUUGUAGAGAAGUUUAUUUUACCUGCUUGGUGGCAUGCCGCUUUAGGUUUCUUAUUAUGCUAUACAUAAUUUGGUGCCAUAAAAUUUAUUUUCUUAGUCACAUAAUGACUCCUAUAUGACCUUUAAAAAUACUUAUAAGGACUUGGAAAAUCACAGCGUUGGAAAAUCACAGCUAGGAGUAUUUCAUUAUAUUUUCUUGGUUCAAUUAUGCCAAUUAUAACAUAAUUUUAUAUACUAACAUGUGAUGUGAUGUGAUGUUUCUUCUAUUUGGUGCCUGACUGUUGAUCUUAUAUAUCCCUAAAACAACACUGGCAUAAUCAAAUGAAUGGCGCAGCAAGGCCACGCCUGUCUUUCUAGUGCAAGACUAUGUCAAGCAGCAUGGGCAGCCUGGGCCGUAGAUCCACUAUUGCGUACAUAUGGGUAGCAAAUAUCGGUGUUUACUUUGGUCAAAGAAUCUCAAUAGAACAUGUAAAACAGAUUAUUGGGUGAAAUAAAAACAGAAAAAUAAAUAAAAAAACGAAACCAUUCCGUAGUUUAUUGUUCUCCACAUUCCAAACUUUAAGACAUUCUAACUUUCCUGGAGAAUCAAAGCAUCUUAAGUUUGACCAAAUUUAUAUAAUAAAAUAAUAACAUUUAUGAAGAUUGUUUCUAUAGUAGUGAACAUUUAUGAAGUUUGCCACUUCUGGGAAACAAAAUUGGCGCCUCUGAAGAUUGUUUCUAUAGUAGUGAACAUUCUGUUUUGGAACAUUGAACAAUAUAUAUAGUUAUUCCCAUGUUUUUUUGUUUAGAACCAUUUAGGAAAUGUUUCUCAUAACUAUAGCUAGCUAGCAUCUGUUGAGACCGUGUAAGACUCUGUUUGGAACUUUGGAUCCACACUAACUAAACUUUAGCUAGCUAGCUAAAGUUUAGGUGCGGUUGUUUGGAUCAUCUAACUAAUUGGUGUUUUUUUACCAUGUUAUCCUUACCUUUGUUGAGCCGAUAUGGACAUAGAAAAACAGAGGGGCAAUUUAGUCUUUAAUCAUGCUUUAGCUAGGUUGGAACAGCUAAAAGGAUGAUGUACAUUUUGACCUCUAGCUAAAGUUUAGCUGAGUUUUAGCUGUCUCCCCAUUUGGAUCCCUAGCAACUAAACUAAUUUAACAGAUGAAGUUUAGCUGGUGCGUGGAUUCAAAAUAGAGCCUAAGAAAGGACCUAGCAUAUAUAAGCAGCUCCAACUGUAUGGUUUAUCAUGGUUCGAAAUGCGGCAUGACCAGUCCUGAGUUUUUAGGGGCCCCAGGCGAACGAAACCAAAAUUCAAAAUAGAAAAUACUAUCAUUUUUUUUGUUGUUAAGCUGUGAUGAACAUCUUUGUUUAACAAAAUCGGCAACUGAUACUUGACGGCUUGGUUUUGGGUCCAUGUGCAGGUGGCUGGUCUACAAGUACUUGCGCACCGACAAGGGAAGGCUGGUGCCAUCGUCCGCCAUGUCGUUAGCAGUUUGUGCAAAUAAGUAAUGAAAUGAACAUAGUUCAGUAUAAAUGAAUCGCUAGCUGAUCAGCGUAAAUAAACUGGACCUUCUCCAAAUCCAUCGAGGAUUCAUAUUCACUGUAUGCAUCCGAGUGUCUCUAUAUAUAUUGAAGGUUUACUACAAUAAUCCUGUACUAGCUAGUUUGUAUUUUGAAAGAUGAAUUAUAUCAAUAUUAUAUCGCGUCAAGUAUAUGUACACUGCCUUCUUUCUUGAAAGAUUAUGAUAUCUACUCUUCUUUCUGCACUUUACAUUAGUAUUCUUUGGGUGUAUACGCUGGCUUUGAUAUAGGUAAUUGUGGACCGCGCCUUAAUAAAUAUAGUUUGAGUAUGUAAAUCGAGAACAAGAGAAUGAAAAUGAUUGAACUCCACUUCUCCCAUUCACUGAUCAGGUUUAUAUACACUAUGAACCAUCGCUUGGUGGGAUGACAGAUGCCCCGAUGUCGGUAAUUUACACUAGCUUAUAGUAAUUGCCUGAUUAAAUUUUGUAUGCAUCGCAAUUCAGAAUCUCUUGUCUCGUAAGCCAUUUCCGUCUCGCGACCGCUGCGCCUAGGGCCCUCUCCUUCUUUCUCUUCGGUGUGUUUGUCAAGGAUAAGAAGGGGAGGAUAUCGAUCUCUUUAAUUUCCCGUAGUUUUUCCUAGUUGCUCAAGGUUUAGUCUAAAUAAAAAUCUUCUAGUGAAAUCAGAUGAUUUUUGGUCGGAAUCAUGUUUCUUAUGAUGACUUCAAUGAUUGCUACGACAAGAUCAUGAUCUAUGUGAUUAAUCGAUUUAGGUUAAAUAAAUUUGGAUGACCAUCCAUGAAUCUAUUUGUCUCAGACCAUGUAGAUAUAGUCAUCUACCCAAGUUUUAGAUAUACAGUCUACUAAUCAUCCAUUUAUCUUUAUUUUUUUCCAACCAUGUGUUCCUCUAAUGAAUAUGUGUUCCUCUCUCCUUUUUCUAUUCUGUUUUGUUUUCUCUCUACUGUGUUUGAACUCCUUUUUUAAUUAAAGUUUUGCUGUAGGGGUGAAAACUCCUCCAAUUUUACUCAAAAAAGGUUCUCAUCUGACUUGAGCGAGUUUCAAUUAUGUUGUUGUACAUACUUUUCAUAUUUGCAUUUGUGAAAUAAUGACUACUACAGUGAGGAUUUGUAAGGGGUAGCUUAACGGUCUGUAGGGGGCGGUUGCGCAUCCACCUCUACCCAGACACCUUUACAAAUCAACGAUUUGUAAGGACGGUUCCCUACAUCUUCUAGAAUUCUCAAAUUUGGACAAAAGAACAGUAAAAAGAAAUUAAUCCUAGAAGGCCCCACCAAUCCACCCCACACUCACUUGUGUCUGUUUCAGAUAUUCUUUCUCUUUAUUAAUUUCUCAUAUUAUGCUUAACUAAAUUUAAAAUAAGUAUUUGAGACUCUAAAUAAAUUCAAAUUCAAAUAUUAGAAAUACAAAGUUGUAUAACUUUUUGGGAUCUACAACUUUUGUUUUGAUCAUUUAUCCAUCAGAGAUCAUUUAAAAAAAUAUAAUUUUAAAUAUAGCAUACUUAGACAUACUUAUCCUUAGCCAGAUGAUUUCAAAUGGAAAAGUUGUCAACUACAAAGUUAUUUUAAAUUUUGAGAUCUACAUCUUUCAUUUUUCUUUUUCUCUAUCUAAGGUUGUUUCAAAAAUUCAAAUUUCAAAUUUUAAAAGUUUCAUAGCUAUCCUUAGAUGAUUCAAAUGAAAAGGUUGUCAACUACAAAGUUGUAUAAGUUUUAGAGAUCUAUAACUUUGUUUGGUUGUACCUUUAUCCGAGAUAGUUGGAAAAAUUCAAAUUUCAAAUUUGAUAACUUUGAACGUAGUUUUCUUGACAAAAUGAUUUUAAAUGAAAAAGUUAUCAACUAUAAAAUAGUAUAAUUUCUCGAGAUCUAUAACUUUUUUGGUUGUUUCUCCAUCCAAGGUAAUUUGUAAAGUUUGAAUUUCAGUGUCAUUUUUACUAUUCGACGCCUGUUUAUAGGGGCCUCUCCAUUUGUUGGGCGGUUGGAUGUAGAGCCAAUCUUACAAAUAGGACCAUUUGUAGGAAUGGUUGAAGAUACCAAUAGCCUCUACAAAUGCACUUGCAGAGACAACUCGUUUUAUGAAGCAUUUGUAGAGACGUCUUAGAUUGAACCGUCCAUAAAAAAGAGAUGUUGCUACAAAUCCUUUUUAUAUAGUGAAUACCACUAUUACACAAAUGAUUUUGCCAGACGGUGCCCUAUUAUUAACGGAGACAGUCACAAAAUUCAUCUGCCUCGGUUAAUGCCUGCGAUUAACGGAGGCGGACACUUUUUAUUUACCGAGGCAGUCACUUUCGCCCGCCUCCAUAAAUGGAUUUAUAGAGGUGGUCACCUUAAGACAACCGCCUCCAAAAAUAGCCCAUAUUACCGAGGUGGUCAUCUUAAGGAGCCCAUCUCCAUAAAUUCAUUUUUGAAGGCGGGCACACUAUAAGACCCGUAUCCUAAAAAAGUUGAGGCCCAACAGCCCAAGCAAGUCUCGAUAAUCGUCUUCUUAUAUAUAUGUAUAUAUGACUUAGGCCUUGUUUACUUCCCAGAAAAUUUUGCAAAAUUUUUCACAUUCCCCGUCACAUCGAAUCUUUAGACGCAUGCAUGGAGUAUUAAAUAUAGACGAAAAUAAAAACUAAUUGCACAGUUUGGUCGAAAUGGACGAGACGAAUCGUUUGAGUCUAGUUAAUCCAUGAUUGGACAAUAUUUGUCAAAUACAAACGAAAGUGCUACAGUGUCUAUUUCCCAAAAAUUUUCGGAACUAAACAAGGCCUUAGAUUCUUUUGGAGGUGCCCCUCUCCCUCUUGCUCUGGAUGAGUGGUGACGCCCCAAUCCCUCUUCCUCUGACCAUGACACCUCUUCCUCGCACCACACGAUGCCCUCCCACCACAGUGGCGCCCUCUGUUCUCCCUCCGACGCUGUCUCCCUCUCUCUCUUUCAUCAGCAGCGCUGCAACAUCUCCCUCGCCUCGGCCUUCUCUCUCUCCCUAGUGAAGAUCUAGGCGCGGGCUGGCCCCCACAUACGGCGGUGAUGCACAUCCACAUCGGGGCACCCCCACCAACGGAGGCAACGCAGAUGCACGUCGGAGCGGCCCUGACACGUGGUAGCGGUGCAGAUCCACGUUGGUGCGCCCCCAAGCGUGAAGGAGGCACAGAUCCAUGGUGGGGUGACCCCCACAUGCUGAGGAAGCAUGGAUCCACGUCGGGAUAGCCCCCACCCGCGGAGGCGAUGUGGACCCAUGGCGGGGCGGCCCUCAAAAGGAGAGGCAGCACUACGCCCGGGGCAAAGCCGAUGGCCUUCUGGCAGUGACGCGUUCCGACGGGCGGCAUGGGCCCAGACACCGUCCCUCACGCAGUGGCACUGUGGAUCUGGCUCAGUGGCGGUGUUGACACGAAUCUGGUGGGCAGUGGCCGCACAUGCACAGAUGGGCUCUAGCGGGCUCAUCGAUGGGUUUGCUGGAUAUUUUUUGUUUUUUAUUGAUUAAUGGAGGUGGGCAUACCAACCGUCUUGGUAGUUCAUUAUGUAUCGAGGCCUUUCAUUAGAGGCGGUUAUGUUGUCCGCCUCCAUUAAUCGUUUUUUAUUACCUCCAUUAAGAUUUUUAUAGCAGUGUACUCUAGGAUUAUGUAGCAAUGUGCGGGGCACCACUUAAUAUGUAGCGCCUAAAAACCUCUCGCCGCUGGUGUAAACCGCUUGCAAGUUAAUAAAUAAAUUGUACCUUCUUAAUACAAUAAUACGCAAUGCUUUUACAUAUUCGAGACAAAAAAAUUUAUUCACAGAUAGUUGAAUAGAUAAUUUAUUGUAUAAGUUGUGUGUUCAACUGUCUGUGUGUGAAUUUCUAGAAUAUACUAUUACUUUUCUUUGUUGGUUCCCCGCUACUGAUAAUGACAUUUAAGCCAAAAACCCAUUAUAUAAGCCAAAAGCCCACACCAAACCCUCAGCCGCAAGCAUCGUCGUGCUUUGCGCCGCCCGUAGUCAUUAACCCCUACAAUCCUGCGGCAUUCUCUGGAUGGCCAGCCACGUCAUCCAGUUUUACUGUUACAGUAAAAACAAAAACCAUCGAUCUCUCUUCCAUCGUCUCUUCUUUCUUCGACUCUUCUCCUCCUCUCUCUUUGCUUCCUUCCUUCCGACUCCCGAUGCCAGGGCUGACGGCGACGGCGACAGCUCCGAGCGCAACCGGCGCGUUGCGGCCGCCCUCCUCCUCCUCCUCCUCCACCUCCACCUCGUCUGCCUUAUCCUCCUCCUCGUCCUCCUUCUCCUCCAUCCUCUUCCUCUCUCUAUCUCCCCUGCCCUCCCGAUGCGGCGGCAGGAGCCGCUCGUGUGGCCGGCCCGAGGCGGCACGCCAGCGCCUCCGCUGCUCCCUCCCCCCGCCUCGUGUCCUCUCCCUUUCUCUCUCCCCACGGCCGUGGCUGCAUCUGCGCCGGGGAAACCCUAGGUGCCAUGGUGGGCUCGGAUCUAGCCACGGUGAUACCCGGCAUGCGCUGCCCUGCCAUGUCUGGCUCCGAUGGAUAAGGCGCCAGUGCCUGGCACAGACGGGCCAUGCUGGCUGCAACCACUGUCCUUGUCCUCCUCCAACCUCGCAUCUCAGCAUGCCCAAAAGGAUAAAUGGUGAGAUCGUACUCAACUCUGGCACUUGCAUCGUGUGAUUCAGUUAUGCCCCUAAUGCUUAAAUCGUUGUGUAGCGAAUUUAAAUUAUUUUGUAAUUCGGUGUGCUAUGCCAGAACAAAAUUGUGAGAAUUUGCUCUCAUGUUGUUUUCUGCCUAUCUGAAAUAUUGUAUAAGUAUUAGAUAUUGCAUUUCAUGUUCACCGUAUUUCAAUGCCAGUGAUAAUAGAAACAAUAUUUUUUUCUUACCAAUGACAUAUGAGAAUGCACAAUCAUGAUUAUCACUCUUUUGUAUUUUCUUACCCUCAUUUGAAAUUAGCCAUUGCCAUAUGUUAAGAUGACUACUCAGUCUUUUAUGCUAUUUUUAUUCUGCUUUUAUUGAGCUGAGGCAUUUCACAUUUUUGGAGUGAUAUGGACAAUUACAUAUAUAUGGUCUUUUUUGCCGUUCUUAGUGAAGGGGCUUUUUGGCAUAGGCAAUGAUGGCCUAUUUCACUGUGCCAAGAGGCCAAUCUUCUUUCCUGCACCCCAAAUCUGCAUUACUCAAAAAUGCUAUUUUGGGGCAUAGCUAUAUACUACCAUAUACUACAAUCUGAUGUUUAGCUUUGGUUUGUUUUUGAGAAGGCUUACAUAUGCUAAUUUAUAACAUAACUAUAUAGUACUAUCUCAUGCACACAUUUGUCAUACAAAUUUGAUUCGUACAUAAUAUUUCACGCUUCAGAUCUCUUCUAGAUUUUAGUGCUCUAUCCAUGCCGAAACUGCUAUUUUCUGUGAUGCUCAGUGUACCUGAUGUCUUUUUCCCGGUACAACCAUGAUGAAAAUGAGCUCUCAUGUAACUUUGAUUCCUGAUGGCAGGAUGGUGGCGGCGCCGCUGUCCUACACCAAUCCUAGCAGGUGGACUACUUUCCUUCUUUAAGUUCCUAAUUCCUGUGUAACUCUACAGAGGAAACAUUAAUACAUAGGGUUGAUGGUCAGUGUGAAAAAAAAAUCUAGAAUAUUAGUCAUAUAGUGUCAAGACCUGAAAUAUUUCAUUACAUUUGCUUCUAUAUUUUUCCUAGGAAAUAUUAUCAAUGACAGUAUAUUCGUGCCAGCAGAUGCACAUGUACGAUAAGUGAUGCAAUGAAGCCACAAAGUACAAUUACAGUAAUGCUUUGUUGAAGUAGUAAAGGUCCAUUGUGCUAUGCUUCUCACGAUGCACAAGAACAGGACCUGCCUAAUGUCAUCAAUGUUGUUGAAAUAGACUGAUUCUUCGUUUGCAAAAAAAUCAGUCAAAAACUAUUUCAGAUUUCGGAUAUAUACUUAUUAUCCCUUUUUAAAUCUUUUGGGCACUGCAGGGCAAUAAUCUAUAGCUACAUGAUUUUUGUUGCUCUCUGUAGCUCUGUGGCAAUUGAUUCAAAUGCAUCGUGUUGACUAUGCCACCUGGAUUUGGACUGUGAUGCUUAGAAAAGGAGAAUAACAUUAUCUGAAAGAGCAGCUAGGUCAGUGCUUUUUAUGUCUUUUUUCCUUGUGUGAUCUAUGGCAGCUAUUAAUUAGUGUACAUGUUUGUAUGCUCUUUGCAAUAGCUUCUUGUUUGAACUUAAAGUCAUGCUAUUUUUAUCUCUAUCUAGACUGAUGGAUAACAAUUUCUUUGUUACCAAUCCACGUCGACCUUCCUCAGGACAUAUUCACUUGAUCAUAGCAGUUAUGUUUAGGUGCUUAUAAAUCUUCACUUGGUACUUUAGCAGCUUUAGAGGCACAUGUGUUGAUCCUCCAUAAUGACCUUGUCUGUUAGCUAACUGGUGGUAAUACAAAAAUAUUAAUUACUAUUUUGUCACUACACUUCCUCUUAAAUUACUCUGACCUGCGUGAUAAUAAACAUGUAUGCCUUCCUAUUCUAAAAAUUCAUCAUAAGAACAACAAGCAUAUUUCAGCAUAUUAAGAUAGAGGUUAUCACCAUACUUCUACAUGUAUAUGAAUCUACAGAUACUUUCAUACCUUUGAUAAUCUUUUUUGAAAUUUGCAUAAUUCCUUUACUGUACUACCUCCCCUCUGGAGAGUCAGGCCCUUGCAUCAAAUUUGCUAUGCAAUAUUCAUCACCAAUAGAGGCAUUGUUAUUCAGAAAAAAUAAUAUCUUUUACCUGUUCUAGAAUGCACUCAGGCAACUUUGGAGAGUGGCUUACUCUAAAAGCCGAGGUCACUUAAUAGCUUACUUUGUACAGAUUAGUAUGAUCAGCUUUUAUAUAUAUUAAGUCAAUUUAUUCAUUUGGUGAAGCUGCUGGUCAGCUUGAGCGAAGGGUAAGAGCAACAGUUAUCAGUUUUGGGGAAAGUCAGUGCACUGAAGUUCAUUAAUUUCUCAUUUCUCCGUGAGAUUUCCCCCUUUUUUUAGUUUCGCAACAGAUAACCUUCAAGAGUUCAUAUCCUUUGUUUGAAAAUGUGGUUUAUGAUUUAUUUAAUAUUGACGCAUACUAUACGCUGUACUCCAGAUUUUUUUACAUCAACCAUGAGAUUGUCAUGUGUUUUCUAUAACAACAUGCCUUUUCAACUCUUAUGUAUGAUCCUUUCUUCUACCAUUUUCAGGUUUUCUCAGCUUUUCAAAAGUCUGCGGCUUUUCAGGUUAGUUAAAGAGUUCAUAUCCUUUUUUUGGAAAUGUUGUUUAUGGUAGCCACUAAUGCCAAUUUCUAUCAUUCCUGAAAGACAAUGUUCUAUAAUGAAUGACAAUGGCUGACAUGCUGAGCCUGUAGGUGUCAAGCAUUAUUGUGCAUGAAGAUUGGCUUCUCUUUCUGCUUUACUUCACCGCUACUAUAGUUUUCUAGAAUAAUGUUUUGGUAUUCAAAGUUUCAUUAUUUCCAUUUUAAGCAUACUAUAGUUGCCAUCAUCAAAUUUGUGUGCCUCACUGUCAUUGCAAGUAACUUAGUGUCAGUGCCUUAUGCUCUGUCCCAGCCAUCAUCUCACCUUCACAGAUACUUAGCUGCUCAUCAACUUAUAUGAAAAUUACCAUUGCCAUAUGCUCUGGGGAUGUUACUGUCCUGUAGAACCUUGGGACCACCUCACUUAGAGUUGUAGCUUCACACAUGCUAUGAAUACCAAAGUUAAAGAUCAAAUUUUUAUGUGCCCUAUAAAUAGCUUGCAAUUGUUAUCAAGUAGCAGCAACAUAGGACAUAGUCUAGCGUGGAAUGUAAUUUGUGGUGGAUUCCUGAUGGAACCUUUCCUAAAAGGUGGGUGGAUAGUGUUCUUUCCCAUCUUUAGAAAAGGAAAAUGGUUCAUUUAAUGUGUACCUUGUUUAUGAUUCUAAACACUAAAAGAUAUAUGAAUCGCUGCUAGAUAAUUCAAGAUUUUCAUCAGGAAUUAGGAAAUGAUAAUCUUUUAGUUCCAAUUGCUAUGUUACAGCUUCCUAUAUUUCACAUGUUUGCUACAUACGGCUUAAGUGUGAUACAAAUAAACCAUGUCGUGAGGGCUGUAUAAAUGGGUCUCCCAUGUCCUUUGUAUACUUUACAUUAUUGUUCAAAUGUGCAGCCUCAUCAUUUAGUCUUGAUGAAGCACCCCUAAAAGAUCUUGCCAUUGGGUAAGUGACACUACUGUGUCAUAAUUAGUCAACCAAACAUACCAAAAUUUGUAUUUUAAAAUUGUUUACUUACUAAUUUUAGAUUUGUCCAAUCUGAACCACAUUACCAGCAGCAGCAGCGAGCCUCGCUCAUAAGCAGCCGCUCAGAGUUAGCGACGAGGCUGCCAAUGUGAGCUCAUGCAUAUUUUCUCGAUUACAAGUCUUAAAACUAUACCCGCCAAAAUAGUUGUACUAAUAUUAUCAUGCUUAUUAGCAUCCUCAAGUCUGCUAAAUCACUUUGCAUCUUUUUUUCUAGGAAACAGUGGCAAAUAAGAAUGUGAAAACUACCACAGCUACACAGGAUGACAAAGACAGGCCUCAUGCAGCGCCGCUAUAGCGCAAACUCAAUAGGUUCAAUUGAAUACUGUGGCGCGCCCCUUCAACUAGUACUUGUAAUAGGGUGCGCGCCAUCGCGCGCGUAGAUUGGCACAAAAGAUUUCUAAUAUGAAGAAUAUAUAGACUAUAAUAUAAAUAAAUAAUGUAGGUAGAGUGUCUAACUACGUCAGGAUAGGCCCCUUGAGUUCAUGCCUCGAGAUUUCGUGAGAACAUCUAUCGUUCGUGUCACUAUUAUAGGGGUGAUGGUGGUUACAUAACAGACAACAUUCAAGUUAACGUUAAUUUAACAGAAAUGGUAGAAGACAACAUGGAAGAAAUAUUUUGAUGCCGAAUUUGUAAAGUUGAAUCUUUUUGAUGUUCUAAACUUUGGCUCUUUCAAUGGUAGAACUCUAAUUUUAUUACUUCAAUUUGAUAUGGAUUUAAUAGAGCAUUGUCAUAUUAUUACCAAUAUUAAUUUAUAUAAAAUAAAUUAUAAAAUAAAAAUCUAUCAAUACACAUUUUUUUUCAUAGCUUAUUUCUUCCGUUGUAACACACGGACAUGUUUUGCUAGUUAAAUUAAGUAUUCUAUAUUUUCUAAAACAAUACUACUAGAUAUAUUUACGUGAUAUAACUCAUUAUAUUGAUGGUUUAUAAUACUAGGUGAAUUCCCCGCGUGUUGCUACGGAUUUUUCUUAAAAACAAAUUAUUAUAUACAUAGCAUUACUAUAUGGUAUUCACUAUAUUAUAUAUGUACACAUGUGUAUGAAUUUGACUUGUAUUUUAUUGUAUUAGAUCUGGUAAAAAUUUGCUAAGUUAAUAGAAGAAAACUAAUAUUUGGUUACAUUAUAUAGAAACAAAUAGUGUAUAUGUACAUGACUUGUAAGUUAAUAGAUUAAAGAUUUAAAGUAUUUUACAUGAUAUAGAUGAUAUGGUCAUUUUUUGUAAUUAAUAUGGGAUGAGAUGGACUUAGUGGGGAAUGAUGUGGACACCUUGCAUGAAGAGAUAGAACAUUUAGUGGGUUACAUUGUGGGAAAUGAUGUGGACACCUUGCAUCAAGAGUAUAUGAUUUGACUUGCAUGUAUCUUAUUGUAUUAGAUUUAGUAAAAAAUUGCUAAGAUAAUAGAAAAAACUAAUGUUUGGUUACAUUAUAGAGAAACUGGUGAUGAAACAAAUAGUAUAUGUCUUGUAUGUUAAUAGAUUAAAGAUUUAAAGUAUUUCAUAUGAUAUAGAUGACAUAGUCAUUUUUUGUAAUUAAUAUAAGAUGACAUGGACUUAGUGAGGAAUAAUGUGGACACCUUCCAUGAAGAGAUAGAACAUUUAGUGGGUCACUUAGUGGAGAAUGAUGUGGACACUUUGCAUGAAGAGAGAAUGUAUUUAGUGAGGUUUAGCUUUAUAAGAGUAUAUGAUUCCACGUGAUACAAAGACUGUGAGCCUCAAAUCAGAGUUCAGAAUCGGCCUGAAAUUCACGAAGGUAGCCUUUCGCAUCAGGCCAAGUACUUGCUGUGCACCAUGAUGACCCAGGCUUUCGAAACAAAAACUCAUUGGUCGUCAAUAGUCUUCCUCUGCAUCAGUGGAGAAGCCACUCAAAAUCUUCUUACGAAUAGAUUGAAGACUCACCGUUUCUUAGGGGUGUUUACUAAGAAUGUUAAAGUUUAAUAGGUACUGUAACAUUUUGUUUUAUUUGGUAAUUAGUGUUCAAUUAUAGACUAAUUAGGUUUAAAAGAUUUGUUUUGCAAAUUAUUCUCUAAUUAUGUUUUUAGUUUCGUAAAUAGUCUAUAUUUAAUACUUCAUGCAUGUGUCCAAACAUUUAAUAUGAUACUCCUCCAUCCACGAAAGAGUCACUUUCUAGAGUUGUCCUAAGUCAAACUUUUUAAACUUUGACCAAAUUUUUUAGAAAAAAAUGCUAAGAUUUAUGGUAUCAAAAUAGUAUCAUUAGAUUCAUCAUAGAAUAUAUUUUUAUAUGAUGCACAUUUUAUGUCAUAGAUGUUGUUACUUUUUUCUAUAAAGUUAGUUAAACUUGGCACGAAUUCUAGAAAUUGAUUCUUUCGUAGACGGAGGGACUAGACGGUAAAAUUUAUUGGCAUGAACCAAACAAUAUGAUAGUCUUUGGUGUGACUGUCACCACUCAGUCAGUGCAAUGUGACCGUCACUCCGUCAGUGCAACAUCGUCAUCGUCGUCAGUUGUUAGCCUGUGAUUAAUUAUUUCAUAAUGUGCUGGAUUGGAUGGCUGGCCUCUUAAGUCAAUUCUCUUCUGCCACUUUCGAGACCAACAGCGCCAAAAGGCGACACUGAGAAACUAAUCUCAUUCGCUGAUGGGACGACUAUGGUAAAAUUGCACUGAUAGUCCGUCGGAAUAAUUUGGGUGGCUUCUCCACUCAAAUACGAUAAAACGACUUCUAAAUCCUAUACGGAGGAAGUAUAUUCCACCGUCUUUAUCUCAGAGUGACAUUUCCUAAGUAUUAGGAUGACCCAUUUAAUUUACGAUUCUAUUGAGCAAUAAGGCCUUGUUUAGUUACACCUAAAAUCCAAAAAACUUUUCAAGAUUUCUCGUCAUAUCAAAUCUUAUAACACAUGCAUGGAACACUAAAUAUAGAUAAAAAACAACUAACUGCACAGUUUGCCUGUAAUUUGUGAGAUAAUAUUUACAGCCUAAUUAGUCCAUCGGACAAUAAUUACCAAAUAAAAAUGAAAGUGCUACAAUAUCGAAAAACUUUCACCUCUUCAAAAAUUUGUUUUUGACUUAUCCUCAAUAGCAAUGAAUUCGCCUUAUUCGUUUGGCUGAUAAGACGUGACAGAAAGUACUAUUGGCUGCUGUUGAAUGAGUAACAUGACAGAUAGGACUCCACCAAUUAGCCCAAUUAUCUUUUAUUAGCACGUGAUUAGCUCUUGUAAAAAGGAUAGCAACAUCAUCCUUGUCCCAAGCAGCAGCUUCCUUUUUCCCACGUUUAAUUUGAUUUGUCUCGUGCCAUGCAUUUGACCAUUAUGUUCUAGAAAUAUGGACGCGGUUGUUCUGUCAUUUCGGAUUCAAUGCUUCCCUCGUGCUGGUACUGACCAUAUAGACCCUGCUUCCUUCGUGCCAGUUCUCCCUAUAAGAACUAGCUAGGAAUUGAAGCUCCCUGUUCUCAUACAAUUCUAGCAAGACCAGCCCAUAGCAGUCAUGUUCCCAUCAUCCUGCUUCCUUAGUACCGGCGUGUUCCUGGCGAUUCAGCUGAUCUUGAUAGGCAUCAUCGGACUGCAUGUUCACGCGUCGGAGUUCGUACACAAGGGAUGUAAGUUUUUCCUUUGUAUGUAGGCCUUUAGUUCAGCCCAAAAACUCAAAACUUUUCAAGAUUUUCCGUCAUAUCGAAUCUUGCGGCAUAUGCAUGAGAUAUUAAAUAUAGUCGAAAACAAAACUAAUUACACAGUUUGUCUAUAAAUUGCGAGAUGAAUCUUUUGAGCCUAAUUAGUCCAUGAUUGAACAAUAAUUGUCAAAUAAAAACGAAAGUGCUACAGUACUACAAACCCAAAAAAGUUGGGAACUAAACAAGGCAUAAGAUUUGCUGUGUUUUUCUUUGAGAUGCAUGCCUUAUAUAUAUCCACCUCUUUGUACAAUAGUAUUUAUACUAACAGAAAUGCCCGUGCAUUGCAACGAGGUUUAGGAACUAUAACUUGAUGAUUUGGAGUUUGAAAAUUCAACGGUCAUAUUAUGUGUUUCAGCAUCUUGUACUCAGACUUUAUAUCAUGCCAUAACUAUCGCAUUGAAAAUAAGAGGCUCAAAGAUUAAUUAUUAUGUCAUGUCUGUAUUGUUUUUAAGAUUAUAUUUUAGUCAUAAUGCUUUAACUUGUCCAUGCUUAAAAACAUUGGAUCAUGGAAACCAUUUUUACUUUAAAAUUAGGAAAACAAAGCUUGUAUACCUAUGCCUUGUUAUGUAUUAUUAUAUUUCAUUAUUUCUAUAAAAAAUAACUAAUCAAGUGUAGAGAUGAAUUCGAGUAGUCUAUAUUACUCCCUUAGUCGCGGAAAGAUAGCAAUCAAGUAGUUUGAGAUUUCUCCAAACCUCAGCUGAGGCUUCGGAGGUUUGCCCAGAUCAAGCCAACGACUGUAAUGGCCAGUAGCACCUUUUUCUGUUCGUGCCCACGAUUCACGAUGAGGCGGCGCCUCGAUGUCGAUGGGCCAGCAUUUUGCGUCGCCAUCGUGGCCCCAUGUCUGACGCCUAGCUCCAUGCUGUGGUCAUGAUCAAGCUCCCACCUCGUCCUCGUAGCCUAUGUCUUGUAGCUAGGUGACCAAGCUUCACCUCACCCUCAUAGUCUGUCCUGCAGCUAGGUGACCAAGCUUCACCUCACCCUCACAGCCCCCCGCACCUGUAAGAAAGAAGAAAAAGCAUAUCCCGCAUCGCCCCCCUCCGCAUGACCCCGUAUCGCCCCGUCCACCCGAACAGAAGAAGAAAAUCACAGACCCACACUGCCCCCACGCGCAAGGAAGAAGUGGAUCGAACCCACCCUAGCCCAUGUGCGCACGGGAUCCGCCCCCUCUCUCGACCACGCCGGCCCCCUAGCACCUUCGCCCGCCGCCAGCUUGCCCCCAAAGCCCGGCCCUAGCUCACCACCCCUCCCUUUGCCACUGCAACAGUAGGAUGCAACAUCAACCGAGACCUAAUGCAACAAACGAAGAAAUCCAUUGCAACAUUCAACCUGGAUCUAAUGCAACAAACGAAGAAAACCAUUGCAACACCAAACAAAUGAGUUCGCUGGAACCCUAGCCUAGCUACUGCGACAUCAACCGAGACCUAAUGCAACAAAAGAAGAAACCAAUUGCAACAUCACCCCAGAUCUAAUGCAACAAAUAAAGAAAACCAUUGCAACAUCUAUCUAGAGAGCUCGCCGGAACCCUAACCUAUUCCAACAUCAACCGAGACCUAAUGCAACAAACUAAGAAAACCAUUGCAACAUCAAUAAAGACUUAAUGCAAGAAACGAAGAAAACCAUUGCAACAUCAAUCCAGACCUAAUGCAACACACGGAGAAAACAGAGAGCUCGCUGGAACCCUAGUCACCAUCACAUCCCAUAGAUCUAGAGGGAGGAGGAGCAGUGGAGGAGGAGGUGGUGGAGGAGCAGAUCCAGAGGAGGAGGGAGGGGGGAGAGAGGCCUCGGAUCUAAAUCCGUCUCCACCUAUAUUUUGUCGAAGCCAUGCUAUCGUCAUUGUCUCUGGAUGUAUGGAGGUGAGAGAGCGAGGGAGAGAGAGCAGGGAGGGAGGGAGGCGUGCUCUCCUCUUUGGAAGUUGCCGCUGUUGCGCCCCACUCUGGUGGCAUAGAGGCACGUGGAGGGCAUUGCGGGGGAGGGAGAGAAGGAGGGGUAGCUCGCUGGUCGUCUUGGGGUGGAGAGCGCGCUAACGAGCAGCCUAGGCGGGCGUGGCACCAGCGAGCCGAGCGGGGGCGCGUGCGCUCGGGCGAGUGGUGCCGCGGUGGCGAGUGACAGAGAAUAAUGGAGCAGGCAACGUUCGAGUGGGCUGCAUAGAAGAGAAAAAGGAAAGAAGAUAAGGCAACGCGAGGAGUGGACACACGUCGGACGCUCCGUGUCGAAGUAUUUCCGAUGCUCCAUGUAUGUACACAGUAAAAAGCUGUCGCGUGGAGAGCUGCAGCGACAGCCACACACACAAAACUGAAUUACAUAUUUGGUCAACGAUAAAGGACCUGGUAUAUAAAAAUAUGCACCGCAGAACUCCGUCACCGCGCAACUAGAUCCUUCCUUCUGUGCCGCUGCGCGACUGCUCCCUUUCCUUCUCCGUCGCGGCCGGCCAGCCCCCUCCGUGCAGUCACAGCUGCCCACUGAUUCCACCUCCUACCCCGCCACGCUCAGGCACUAGGGGCGCUAUGUCCAGCUGUGGCCGCGCCAAGAUACCGACAAUCCCUAUAAUUAGAACGGACAAAGUAUUUUAGUCCCAUCUUCAGUAAAUCACCUUUCGUGUGGGUGCAUGAGCAUAGGGUAUAGUAAUACUAUCAAAGAUGAAAAAGUAAGAUAAGAUAAGACAUUUAAAUACAGCGGCAGAUCUAGAAAUUGAUUUCGACUCACUUAGCUAAAUAGUUAUAAUCUCUGUAACUUUAUAAAUUCUACACCUUUUAUUAAGUAGCUUUGCAUGUCCAAGACUAGCUAGGGCUGUAGCGCAUGGGCAGCCUGGGUCGUAGAUCCCCACUAUUGCCUACAUAUGGGUAGAAAAUAUAUGUCGGUGUUAACUUUGGUCGAAGAAUCUCAAUAGAAUGAGCAACUUCAAUUUUUCAGUUGUUGAAAUGUGAUGAACAACUUUGUUUAACAAAAUAAAUGAGCAACUGAUACUUACGGCUUCGCUUUUGGGUUCAUGUUGUGCAGGUGGCUGGGGAGAUCCUACAGAUCCUUGCGGACCAACAAUGGGGAGCCCAUCGUGCCAUCGUCCGCCGUGUCAUUAGCAGUCUGUGCAAAAAUUAAUGGAAUGAACAUACUGGUUCAGGGUAUAAAUUAAAUGAAUCGCUGAUCAGCAUAAAUAAAGUGGACCUUCUCCAAAUCGAUCGAGGAUCCAUAUUCAUUCAGUGUAUGCAUAUAUCCGAGUGUCUUUACAUAUUGAAGGUUAAUUUACUACAAUAAUCCUGUAGGUACUAGCUAGUUUGUAUUUUGAAAGAUGUUACAUCAAUAUUAUAUCGCAUCAAAUAUACACUGCCUUCUUCUUUUCUUGAAUGAUUAUGAUAUCUACUCUUUUUUCUGCACUUUACAUUAGUAUAUUCUUUCGGUGUACACAGGCUUUGAUCGAUAUAGGUCACUGCAGACUGUGCCUAAGUAGAUAUUGUUUGAGUAUGUAAAUCGAAAACAAGAGAAUGAAAAUGAUUGAACUCCACUUCUCCCAUUGACUGAUCAGGUUUCUAUAUACUAUGAACCAUCGCUUGGUGGGAUGACCGAUGCCACGAAGUUGGUAAUUUACACAAGAGUAUAGUAAUUGCCUGAUUAAAUUUUGCAUGCUUCGCAAUUCAGAAUGUCUUGUCUUGUAAGCCCUUUCCAUCUCCCAACCGCUGCACCUAGCUAGGGCCCUCUCAUUCUUCCUCUUUCGUGCGUCUGUUAGGGAUAAAAAGGGGUGGGGAUGAAUCUCUUUAAUUUCCCAUAGUUUUUUUCCUAGUUGCUUAGAGUUUACUCUAAAUAAAUCUUCUGGCAAAGUUAAAUGAUUUUUGGUCGGAAUCAUGUUUCCUACGAUGACUUCAAUGAUUGCCACGAUGACAUCAUGACCAAUAGGAUUAAUCAAUUUAGGUUAAAUAAAUUUGGAUGGCCAUAUCCAUGAAUCUAUUUGUCUCGGACCAUGUAGAUAUAGUCAUCUACCCCUUAUGCGGUCUACUAAUCAUCCAUUUAUCUUUAUUUUUUUCCAACCAUGUGUCCCUCUAAUGAAUAUGUGUUCCUCUCUCCUUCUUUUUGUUAUGUUUUGUUUUCUCUGUACUGUGUUUGAACUCCUUUUUUUAAUUAAAGUUUUGCUGUAGGGGUGCAAACCCCUAUAGUUCCACUCAAAAAAAAUUUGGUUCUCAUCUGACUUGAGCAAGUUUCAAUUAUGUUGUUGUACAUACUUUUCAUAUGUGCAUUUGUGGAAUAAUCACUACUACAGUGAGGGGCGGCUUAAGAUGAUUUGUAGGGGCGGUUGCGCAGCCACUUCUACCCAGAUGCCUUUAUAAAUCAACGAUUUGUAGGGACGGUUCCCAUAUACAUCUUCCAGAAUUCUCAAAUUUGGACAAAAGAACAGCAAAAAUAUUAAUCCUAGAAGGCCCCACAGGGCAGCCACAUGCCACAACCUUGCACGUUACUCUCUUUGACCAAUUCACCCCACACUCACUUGUGUCUAUUUCACAUAUUUUUUCUCCUCAUUCCUCGUAUUAUGCUCAACCAAAAUUAAAAUGAGUGUUUGGGACUCUAAACAAAUUUAAAUUCAAAUAUCGGCAACUACAAAGUUGUAUAACUUUUCGGGAUCUACAACUUUUGUUUUGAUCAUUUCUCCAUCUGAGGUCAUUUGAAAAAUUAAAUUUUAAAUAUUACCAUAUUUAGACGUAAUUAUUAUUCUUAGCCAGAUGAUUUCAAAUGGAAAAGCUGUCAACUACAAAGUUGUUUAAAUUUUUGAGAUCUACAACUUUUAUUUAUCUGUUUCUCUAUCUAAGAUCGUUUCAAAAAUUUAAAUUUGAAAUUUAAAAAGUUUCAUAGUUAUCCUUAGUUAGAUGAGUUCAAAUGAAAAGAUUGUUAACUACAAAGUUGUAUAACUUUUAGAGAUCUAUAACUUUGUUUGGUUGUACCUCCAUCUAAGGUAGUUGAAAAAAAUUCAAAAUUGAUAAAUUCAAACGUAGUUUUCUUUGAUAAAAUAAUUUAAAAUAAAAAAGUUAUCAACUACAAAGUUGUAUGACUUUUUGAGAUCUACAACUUUUGUUUAGAUAAUUCCUCCAUCCAAAGUCAUUUGUAAAAUUCGAAAUUCAAUGUUAUUUUUACUAUUUGACGCCCGUUUAUAGGGACGCCUCCAUUUUUUGGGUGACUAGAUGUAGAGUUGUCCUUACAAAUAGGAUUAUUUAUAGGACCGGCUGAAAAUACCAGUAGCCUUUACAAAUACACUCGUAGAGGCGGCUCGUUUUGGGAAGCAUUUGUAGCGACGUUUUAGAUUGAACCGUCCUUAAAUAAAAACGAUGUUGCUACAAAUCUUGUUUUUUUAGUAGUGAAUACUCUAGGAUUCUGCACCAACAUGCAGGGUACCACUUAGUUUUCAAUAUGUAGUGCCUAAAAACCUCCCGCCGCUGGUGUAAACCGCUUGCAAGUUUAUAAAUAAACUCUACAUUUUUAAUACAAUGAUAUACCAUGUUUUUACAUAUUUGAGAAAAAAAUUAAUUCACAAAUAGUUGAAUGGACAAUCUAUUGUAUAAGUUGUGGGUUCAACUGUCUGUGAAUAUACCAACAACAACGUAUCUGUGGGUCGUGCAUGUUCUUAGCGAGUGACAGUAAUACCAUCAUUAUCCUUUUUUUUUGGGGUUAACAAUCGCCACUACCUAUCAUUUUUCCUUUUUAUUUUUUUGAGUGGAACCUAUCAUUUUUCUUUUUUUUGUUCCCAGCUACCGAGGCCUUGUUUAGUUCCACCAAAAACCAAAAAUUUUUCAAGAUUUCCGUCACAUCGAAUCUUACGGUACAUGGAGUAUUAAAUAUAGAUGAAAAAUAAAACCUAAUUGUACAAUUUGUCUGUAAAUCACGAGAUGAAUCUUUUAAGCCUAGUUAAUCUAUGAUUAAACAAUGUUUGUCAAAUAAAAUAAAAAUGCUACAAUAGCGAAAUCUAAAAAGUUUUCGCAAAUAAACAAGACCUGAUACUGACAUUUAAGCCAAAAGCCCAUAUAAGCCAAUAUAUAAAGGCGAAACUUGGCCCAUAUAAGCCAGAAGCCCACACUCAGCCGGUCAGCCGUAAGCUUCGUCGUGCCCCCUGCUCUGUUCUGCUCUGCGCCGCCCGUACUCACAUGCCUUGCCGGCGAAGAAGGCCGAGUUCCGGCCGACUUCCUUGGAGGGAAUCCGAGCCCACGUCUGAGAGGAGUGCCACAGGCCAGCGCACCCGAGCCCGGAGAGGAAGACGCCCGUGGCCCUGAUGAAUCCCCCGGCUCCCCUGCUCUGUGUGCCUCCGACACGCCGCCGGCGUCCAGCCCCGAGGUCAGCAGCAUUAAGAUGUUUCUUUGACUUUGAGAUUUGAACUGGCGACUAGCUGACUUGCUGUGUUGAAUUUGCUUUUCUCUGUGAGAACUAGCUAGGACCAUACUGUUUGUUUCUGAAGCUACAUUGGGAAGAGAAUGCAGCUUAAUUGACAGGGAAAAUCUUUUUUUUUUGGAGAAUGUGCUCAUGUUGAAAAGUGUGUGUGUGUGUGUAUGUGCUGGCUUCUAAGCAGCAAGGGCUGCAGGUGUUUAUGAAAAGUUCAAUACUGCACAGUUUUAAACGUUUUUAGUUAUAUUUCAAUCUAAAAUCAAUGUAUGGCUUAUAGCACUAGAGAAAGUAGGGGCAUGCAGAGAUAGUGAUGUUUCCCAAUCACACAACGCUGUUUAAUGUGCGGUGGAAGAAACGAUCAUGCGUAUUGUUAUUGACACUUGGUAUUGUUUCCCCGUACCACACUUAGUAAUAUAGCCAGUGUUGACACUUAGUACGGAUUCCAAGUACUGCACCAGUUUCUUAUACCAGGAAAAGUACUAAUACAUAUUUGUCCCUGGCUACAUAUACCUAUUUGAUCAACUGCCUUGUACAAAUCUUUAUCCAUACGGCGAAGUGCAACUGCUACAUAGGUACUAUGUGAAUUACAGUAACAUAGAUACACUUCCCAAUGAGCACAAUGUUGAAAAUUCUUCUUUGAUGGCCAACAUUUCAGCAUAAACCUCCUCUGUUUUUGGCCGAUCCUUGGGUGACAUCUCAGAACAUUUCAGACCAAGAUUUGCGAGUUGCAUUGCACAGUGCUGCAUCUCAACCAUUUCCUGUCCUCCGUCUUCACCUUCAUGAUAUCCAGUGAGAUUUGGUUCUAAAAUGUUAUGGAUAUUCAGUGGAAGUGAUGACUCCACAAAGUUGCGGAUGUUUACACCAUCCUUAAACAUGUCAUCUGUUGGUCGCCUUCCUGUAAUAAUCUCCAGCAGAAUAAUUCCAUAGCUGUAGAUGUCACUCCCAACUGAGAUUUUGCACCCCAUGCCAUACUCUGCAAUGUUGUGCAAAACUUAAUAAGAAAAACCUCCACUUAGCUUUUUUCAGACAAUUGGGAACAAUAUAGAUAAGAUGCUAAUGCAUCAUUUACAAACAAAUAUCAUAUAUACAUAAGUAAAAUUCAUUCUGAUUAAACAAAGAGUGAAACACGUGGUCACCUGGUGCAAUAUAUCCGAUAGAUCCUCUCGGUCCUACAGCACUUGAUGAAUUAUCGAAUCCUGUUGAAAAGUCAACAGAAAGAAACUUUGCAAGACCGAAAUCACUGAGAGAUGCAACCAUUUCAUCAUUCAAAAGGACAUUGCUUGGUUUCAGAUCACGAUGUACCAAAGGAGGAGUGCAUCGAUUAUGAAGAUAGUCCAAUGCAGCAGCAAUAUCCGCAGCUAUUGCUAUUCGUGUGCCUAAACUCAAUGGUCUCUUUGUGCUUUCUGUGUACUCUUUCUGAUGGAGCCAGCUUUCUAGGUUACCAUUUACCAUGUACUCAAGAAUGAGUGCUUUGAAUUCAUUUCCAGUUGGAUCAAACGUUGAACAUACACUAAUCACUCUUAUAAGAUUCCGAUGGCGAAUAUUUCUCAAUGCCUCACAUUCAGAAAGGAAGUUACUUGGUGCUCCAAAUUGGUCGAGCCUGAAUACCUUUAUGGCAACUGCACAUUCUUCAACCUUGAAUUGACCUUUGUACACCAAUCCAAAUCUUCCGGAUCCAACAAUACUGUUAGGAGAGAAACCAUCUGUUGCUUUGAAUAAAUCACCAUACGAGAAAUUCUUUAGCUCCUUUAAUGACUGGCUGGUUAGUUGCUUUCCUUUCCUUCUCUUCUUCAAAAUAAUGACAGCAACACACGCCAUUGCGACUGCAGCUACACUAGCAAGUGAAACCAGAACAGCUAAAAUGUAGGCAUGCUUCUUUCUUUGGGGUCUUGAUGUCAAGCACUGUGGUACUUGUAGAUCUGGAGACGUUGCACACAACUUAUUGUUUCCUUGGAUGUACACAUCAUUUGGUUUAGCAAAGAUGCCACCUCCAGGGACAGGGCCCUCAAGGUCAUUGAGGGAUAGAUUUAGAAUCUGUAAAGAGCUAAGUGACUCCAAAAAAUCAGGAAUUCUACCAGACAAAUUAUUCUGUGAAAGAUCCAUAACAGUGAUGCCUUUUAAGUUGAUGAAAGAAUCUGGGAUGCUUCCUUGCAGAUUAUUUGCUUGUAAGUGGAGUGACUCCAGAAGAAGGCACUGACCAAGUGUGGAGGGGAUCUCUCCUGAUAAUCUAUUGUUGGAAAGACUGAGUGAAUUCAGAUUGAUCAAUCCACCAAUCUCAAACGGUAUGUCUCCAGUGAGUUUGUUGUUAGACAAGUCUAAGCCAACAGAAAGUGUAGAUAUCGAAAAGAGUUCCCGUGGAAUGCCUCCGUACAAGCUAUUGGAAGAAAGAUUGAGUGUUGUCAGUUGUUUGCAGCCCUCUAAACUAGAAGGUAUGAGCCCGGUCAAAUUAUUUUCGUUGAAAAGAAGUUCAGUAAGCUGCUCUAGCUUCCCAAUUGAUCUUGGGAUUUCUCUGGAAAAUUGGUUUUUGGAUAUGGUCAGAAUAGACAUGUUUUGGAGGUUCCCAAGCGUGUCUGGAAUUUCCCCUGAAAGAAAAUUAUUAUCUAACUGAAUUACUGUGAGAUUCGUGAACUUUCCUAUCUCUGAUGGUAUAGAACCUGAGAAUUGGUUAUGUUUUAGAACCAUGAUCUCUAAGCUUUUUGGGAUAUUGGUGAUAUAAGUAGAUAUUGUACCUUGGAGGUUGUUUCUAUCUAACCAUAAAUUCUUUAACUGUGUGCAGUUGACUAGAGAGGACAUGAAAGACCAAUCUCCAGCUUCAAGUCUAUUUGCACCUAGAUCUAGGUAACUCAACAAGGUCAGGGAUCCCAGUGAAGGAAUAACACCUGUGAAUGCGUUGCUACGGAGAUCUAGAUAUUGCAAAUUUGUGGCAUUGGCCAGUGAAGCUGGAAUUGGACCUUCAAACCUGCUCCCUUCUAAUAUCAGCUCUGUGAUGCUUGUAAGGGUGUUGCCGAUACUGGUGGGAAGCGUACCAACAAUUUGGUUGGCCCCAAGUCCAAGAAAAUUAAGAGAGGAGAUGUUAUAAAUUGCAGGUGCAACGGUGCCUGACAAGUUGUUAUAGCUGAGGUCUAGUGCUUGCAGGGUUUUAAGCUUACCUAAGCUCUCUGGAACCCUUCCUCCUAAACUGUUAUGAGAAAGCAGUAAGAAAGCCAAGGAAGAAAGAUUACCAAGUGAGCUAGGAAUCUCUCCAGAGAGAUUAUUCUCGUAUAAGCUAAGGUAAUUCAGUGCCGAGGAAGAUGCCUGCAAGAAAGGUGGGACAGACCCAGAAAGAGCAUUGUGUGAGAGAUCUAUGUAAUGAAGAGACGUGCAGUUGAACAGAGCAGGGGGUAUCCAUCCAGUAAGGCUGUUGUUCUGAAGAUUCACCCAUGUCAGGUUUUUACUCUGCCCAAGAAAUUCAGGAAUGCUUCCUGUGAGAUUAUUGCUGGGGAGAAACAGCGUGUAGAGACUGGGAAGCAAGCCAAGCUGUGGAGGGAUGCUUCCCUGAAGAUUGUUGUAGCCAAGAAUAACAGUCUGAAGGGAUGAGCACCGGGCAAGACUUGGAGGGAUCUCACCUUGGAGGGAAUUGCUAUCAAGGUCGAUUGUCUCAAGAUGGGAACAUGCAGAUAAUGCCUCUGGUAUCUCACCACGAAGGGAGUUCAUGCUGAGGUUGAGGUACCGAAGCUGGGUUAGCUGGCCGAUGUCAGGAGAAAUCUGACCAUCGAGCUGGUUGUUGGGCAUGUGGAUCCUUUCAAGGAAGCUGAGGUUGGCGACG
rnacentral:lncRNA from 1 species